rnacentral:rRNA from 1 species
GUGUCAGCCGCCGCGGUAAUACGGAGGAUCCAAGCGUUAUCCGGAAUCAUUGGGUUUAAAGGGUCCGUAGGCGGUUUAAUAAGUCAGUGGUGAAAUCUGGUCGCUCAACGAUCAAACGGCCAUUGAUACUGUUAGACUUGAAUUAUAAGGAAGUAACUAGAAUAUGUAGUGUAGCGGUGAAAUGCUUAGAUAUUACAUGGAAUACCAAUUGCGAAGGCAGGUUACUACUUAUGGAUUGACGCUGAUGGACGAAAGCGUGGGGAGCGAACAGGAUUAGAUACCCCCGUAGUCC